rnacentral:misc_RNA from 1 species
GUAGGUGAACCUGCGGAAGGAUCAUUCAUAAUAAGUGUUUUAUGGCACUUUUUUAAAUCCAUAUCCACCUUGUGUGCAAUGUCAGUCGAUCUUCUUUAUGGAGAUUGGCCAAACAUCAACCAUAUCUUUUAACUCUUUGUCUGAAAAAUAUUAUGAAUAAACAAUUCAAAAUACAACUUUCAACAACGGAUCUCUUGGCUCUC